GACGAACGCUGGCGGCGCGCCUAACACAUGCAAGUCGAACGGAAGCAAUUGGAGUUUACUUUAAUUGCUUUAGUGGCGGACGGGUGAGUAACACGUGAGCAACCUGCCUUUCAGAGGGGGAUAACGUUUGGAAACGAACGCUAAUACCGCAUAAAAUAUCCAGCAGGCAUCUGCAGGAUAUCAAAGGAGUAAUCCGCUGAAAGAUGGGCUCGCGACCGAUUAGCUAGAUGGUGAGGUAACGGCUCACCAUGGCGACGAUCGGUAGCCGGACUGAGAGGUUGACCGGCCACAUUGGGACUGAGACACGGCCCAG
rnacentral:rRNA from 1 species